ACUUGACUUGAUGUCGAGGCUGCAGUGAGCUGAGAUCGCACCACUCCUAGAUGAUAAGAGUGAGAGCCUGUCUCAAAACAAAGAAAAGAAAGAAAGAACGAAAGAGAAGAAAAUACAGGUAUUACGGCCUAGACAUUCUUUCAGAUGCCAGAGGAUGCUAUAGAAAAAUGCGUGCCCUCUUGUAAUACUUUGUUCAAGUUCUGAUCAGAAGGAUGAAUGAUGGAGCCCAAGAAGCCAGGUUAAUCCUCAUUACUUACAAAUUCCCUACUUGUGAAGUUGUCUACUUGGUAAAACUUUUUGUAAUACAAAAAUCAAUUUUGUGGAUAUAAACAGAUAAGUCCGGUGUAGUAAAAAAUGUGAAUUGUCCAACAAGCACAUUUCCAGCUGAGUUCAAAGUGAUGUCUUGCCUUCUUUUUUCAGCUCACAAACAAUAAACAAGUGUCCUUUUGUGAUCUAUUUAGUGCCAUACUUUAGGCAUUUUUUUUUUUGCUUCUUCUUGGUGAUUUCACUGCUUAAAAUGUCCCCCAAGGAUAUUGCUAAACUGUGGCCCUUUUUUCUAAACACAGGAAGACAAAAGAAUGUGCCUUAUGGAGAAAAUACAUGUGUUAGCUUAACUUCUUUCUAGAAUGAGCUACAGGGCUGUAG
rnacentral:lncRNA from 1 species